GCCAGUGUGAUGUAAUGGUUUGAGUGUCGGACUUCCACUCUGAAGACCAGGGUUUGAUUCCCAGCUCAGCCA